AUCACCGAAGUUAAGCAUCGUAGAGCCAGGUCAGUACUUAGAUGGGGGACCGCUUGGGAACACCUGGUACUGUAAG
rnacentral:rRNA from 1 species